rnacentral:rRNA from 1 species
UUGAUGGAUAGUAUGAAUGGUAUAACGAAUAUAACACUGUCUCAAAUAAAAAUCUUAUAAAAUUAGAAUAAUAGUAAAGAUACUAUUUUAAACUGUAAGACGAGAAGACCCUAUAGAGCUUAACUAUAACUCUUUAACAAUAAAUAAACUAGUUUAUUAUUAAAAAGAGAUAGGUAGUUUAGUUGGGGCGACUAUUUUCUAGAAUAAACGAAAAUAAACAAAAAUUAAUUAGAAAAAUUUACUGUUUAAUUAAUAAAUUUAACAGUUAUUACAAUAGGUAAUAAUGACCCGUUAACAAUUAAUAAUAAUAUUAACGAUCAAUAAAUAAAAGCUACCUUAGGGAUAACAGGAUAAUUUUGUU